UGCGGCAGGCGGAAAACUUGGGAAGAGCAGUGAUCCCUUCCACAGAUAACGUGCUUUCGUAGGGGCCGCAGUUGAGUGGAUGGGGGUAGACUUUUUACCCUGGACGGUUUAUUCCAGGAUUUUUACCCGCCCGUUCCGAGUCAUUGGGGUGCAACAGUCCCUUCAGUAAAUCCUGCCUCAGGAGUUCUUACGCACGGACCCUUUCGAGGCUCAGGCUCGCCAUCUCAGCACUGCCAGCUGUUGACGACUCCCAGCUCCGAGGCCUCAACUUGAAUCCUCAGAAACAACUCUGUCAGCACAGCUGAGAGGCACCCGGUUCACAGAAGUCGGAGAAGAGGAUCACUUAAAUGUUCUCUAGAAGCCCCAUCGGAACCUGGGUAAACAACAGACCACCCAAGAAAAACUACCUUCAAGACAGGCCAUUCCUAGUUCCCUAUUGAGGAGGAACAGGAGAUUUCUAUUUUUGUCAAUGAAGAUUCUUUACGUUGCAAGUGAAGAAAAAUCCAAAGCAAACUGGUUUCAUUAGAAAUGGAAACUGAAAAGACUGUUGGUAGUUUCCAGGGAUGGUUGUGACUUUAUUCAAAGGUCAAACAAUGUCACCAGGACCUAUUUCCCAGAUCUUCUUCUUCUGAGUGUUAGCUUCAUCGUCAGGCUGGUUCUCUUCCUGGUAGCAAAGUGGCUGCAGCAGGCCCAACUUCACAUCUGUAGACACCAAGUCCUGAGAAGUCAAAACUGAAGGUCAGAGGUGAUUCACUGUGGAUGUGGUGAAAAAGGAGAGAUGCUACAUACACUGUGGAUGUAUGGAAAAAGGAGAGAUGCUAGACUCCAAACAGUGGACUCGUAUUCAAAGCAAAGGUCUUUACCCUGCAG